rnacentral:rRNA from 1 species
AUUGAACGUUGGCGGCAGGCCUAAAACAUGCAAGUCGAACGGUAACAGCGGAAGCUUGCUUCCGGCUGACGAGUGGCGGACGGGUGAGUAACACGUAGGAAUCUACCUAGUAGUGGGGGACAACCCGGGGAAACCCGGGCUAAUACCGCAUACGCUCUACGGAGGAAAGCAGGGGAUCUUCGGACCUUGCGCUAUUGGAGGAGCCUGCGUCGGAUUAGCUAGUUGGUGGGGUAAAGGCCUACCGAGGCGACGAUCCGUAGCUGGUCUGAGAGGACGAUCAGCCACACUGGAACUGAGACACGGUCCAGACUCCUACGGGAGGCAGCAGUUAGGAAUCUUGGGCAAUGGGCGCAAGCCUGACCCAGCCAUGCCGCGUGUGUGAAGAAGGCCUUCGGGUUGUAAAGCUCUUUCGCAAGGGAAGAAAACUUAUCCUCUAACAUAGGAUGAGGUUGACGGUACCUUGAUAAGAAGCACCGGCUAACCACGUGCCAGCCGCCGCGGUAACAC